rnacentral:rRNA from 1 species
UGUAGUCUGCAACUCGACUACAUGAAGCUGGAAUCGCUAGUAAUCGCGAAUCAGCAUGUCGCGGUGAAUACGUUCCCGGGUCUUGUACACACCGCCCGUCACACCAUGGGAGUCGGUAACGCCCGAAGUCAGUGACCCAACCGGAAGGAGGGAGCUGCCGAAGGCGGGACUGGUAACUGGGGUGAAGUCGUAACAAGGUAGC